CUGGAGCCCUGUUGUGUGCAGCUGUCUGCAAUGGGUGCAUGGAGCAGCACUGAACAGCUGCAGCUGUUUCCUGCAGACAGACACGCAGACAUAACCCUGCCUUCUGCCUUCUGCCUGUGCUUUUCUGUUAUUUCCUAGCAUCCUGCAAGCUUUCUUUGUUGUUUGGAUUUUGUCUCUAGCUUUGCUUUGCGAUUUUUUCCUUUGCUCUGCUGUCGAAGAAGUGUUGAAUCCCAGCCUGAAGCACCGAGGGAGCAGCUGAGGAAAGGAGCCGGUGAGCCCUGGGAGCACAGCUGAAGGCAAUGGAGCUCCGUGGCUGGAAGGGGCGGAGCCUGGCUGCCCCUCCUGGAGCUCCUUUAGGGGCUGAGUGGCCAGGGGGAAGGGUUUGUUUCUGGAAGGUUCUGUGCUGUGGAGUUUGUUGUGUGGGUGAAUCCUUGGAGAUGGUGAGCUGGUGCUGGAAGUUGGUGGUGUCACUGUAUGAAUGAAGGUCAGUUCAGGAGUAGCUGCUGAUAGGAGGAAUGAGGUCCACGUUGAUGAACUGCAGCCUCUCCUGGCACCCACUGCAUGUACAGCUGAGUGUGGACCUGGAGGAAAGUGAUUCUGCAGCACUGAUGAGCUUUGUGACCCACCUCUUUGAACAAUCCCCUGCCGUGUGUUUCAGCCCAACGCGUGUGGAAGAAGUGUUCCAGGAAGUUUUCCUGCAAACUGGAGAGUAUCGGGGCAGGGGAUAAGGAGACAACUGGAAUUGCUGAGAAAGAGAGCGAGGUGGUGAGUGCUGCAGAUGGGGCACUGGAGUGGAAGACAGUGUGGUGGUGGGAUCAGGAGCUGGUGAGGGUGCUGCUCCCACGGAACAGGAGGCUGCUGCUGGAGGUGACAAACCUCAGGGAGAAGAAAAGGAGAUCGAUGUUUCCCAGG